CUAGAAAAUUUUGUUAUAUUAUAUAGAUUUAAAUAUUUGCUAAAAAUGUGGUAUAAUGCUAUGAUGCCAUUAGGUAUAAUAGUAGUACUUACAACAUUACCUGCUUACAUUUCACCAUACAUAAAUAAGUUUUUUAUUGGGAACCCAAAUGGAAGAUUGUACAAUAACAAUACAAUUGAGCAAGUGGGAUUUGUAAGAGACUAUGAAUUUGCUGGUGGAAAAGUGUGGAAGUUUAAUGGUUUGGAAGUCAUUCCUGACAAAUAAAGUCAUAUAUAUACCAGUACUGUAUUAGUCUAUCUUUAUUACCUUGGUAAAUGUAUUAUGUAAACAUAACAUUAUAAUAUAUAUAGUAAAAGAA